CAGUAUCAAAUAAACCUGAGAGAACAACAACUGUAUGAGUGCUUAAAUUUCUAGGAAAAAGAUAAACAUAUCUACAGUUCUUAUCUCUGUUUUAUGUAGGCCUUUUUCACGUAAACCAGUAUUAUGAGGGAAGGUGUGUGAUACGGAACGCGUUUAUUCUGUGAAGUUGAGAUCUCAAGCGACCACAUUGGCCAAAACCAUGAUGGCAAGAAUGGCACGUACUUUUCAACUGUGCCUUAUGCUCGGACUCCUACUACUGAUAAUACCGAAUGUGACGUCAAACAGCCGGCCGAUCGACCGAAACUGCUGCAGGGUUAAGGAUUGCAGGUCACGGGGUCAAACCUGCGUACGUUUCGGUGAGACCAACUGCAGAUGCAGGGGGAAUAUUGUCGUCGGUAUGCAACAGCCGAGAAUCAGCUCGGGAAGAAAUACUGGAUAAAACGUUUCAUCAAGUUAUAAUUAAACAUAGGCGUCUGCAUUGGCUUUCCGUACACAAAUAUAUCGAAACACGAUGUUUUAGUGUCAUUGUGAAGAUUUAAAUAACGACAUGACAUGCUCUGAUUGAGUUUACAAUAAAUCAGCUUUACAUGUGUCCGAAGUGAUUUAAAGCACGUAUAUAAAUAUAAUACACUAAACAAUUUUGCGAACGAUACUUAUUUGGUUUCGUUGUAUCGCUGUUCUGAUGCGUUGAUAUUAAUUCAUAUAUACAUUUGUAAUGGUAUUCAAAAAAAUAGAUCACUGCGUUUCCUUUCUCCUGAAGAGUGCGUAAGUUUCAUUAAAUUUGUGAUAUUUGAUGAAUAUUUCACAAUCAUGUAUAAUGAUGUUAUUUAUAAUUAAAGUUAGUUAUAAAAGAUCUGCAAACAAAAUUAUAACUUUUCGAGACUAAAAAAUGAAAUGGACAUAUGUUGGUUGUGAUAGUUGAUCAAUUUAAUUCUUUGUUUAAUCAGAUAAAACUUAUACUUGCACGAUCAUGAUUGGAUUAAAAUCGAUAAUCAACAAAACAAAAUAAAGUGUAUGUUUAUUUGAAUUAUCCGCUGUUUGUUAGCAUAAUAUAGAUUCAACUUGAAUGAUGUGGUAUAUUAAGGUUUGUACGGACUCGCAGACGAUCUGUUUAAAUUUGGAUUUGAAAAACCUGAUGUAUGUGCUUCUACACAAAGUGUCGUCUAUAUGUUUUAAAUAGGAAAAUAAAAGAAUAUUGUCCCAUAAACUCGCGAACGAAGAAAUUGAAACAAAUAAAUUACUGUUUUGCUG